UGCCGGGGUAGCUCAGUUGGUUAGAGCGUCUGACUGUGGAUCAGAAGGGCGAGGGUUCGAGUCCCUCCCCCGGUAG
rnacentral:tRNA from 1 species